rnacentral:lncRNA from 1 species
AUCGCGAAACCUUCGCCAAUCGAUGAUAUCCGUAAUGGAUUGUCUUCUUAUUCUCGCAGUCGGGGCAUCUCUGCCGAUUGAGGGCACCGGCCUUCCUCCGGUGGAGCUCUGCCUUGUUCUGACACCAACAACAAGCACUGAUUACCUGCGUUGCGUUUGCGUGACGCAUCCACAGAUCCGACAGGGUUUGGAUUCCGCACAAGGGUUCUUCAACCCUUAAAUAGCCGCGUAUUCAAACUAGCCGAUCAUACGCUCCUUGCCUUCGUCACAUCCGUUCCAUCCAAGCAGUGUGGAAGAGGAAGUGAGAUUUGGCAGAUUACUGGUUCCGGUUCAAUCUUCUGAACCAACCGCGAAACCUUCGCCAAUCGAUGAUAUCCGUAAUGGAUUGUCUUCUUAUUCUCGCAGUCGGGGCAUCUCUGCCGGUUGAGGGCACCGGCCUUCCUCCGGUGGAGCUCUGCCUUGUUCUGACACCAACAACAAGCACUGAUUACCUGCGUUGCGUUUGCGUGACGCAUCCACAGAUCCGACAGAGUUUGGAUUCCGCACAAGGGUUCUUCAACCCUUAAAUAGCCGCGUAUUCAAACUAGCCGAUCAUACGCUCCUUGCCUUCGUCACAUCCGUUCCAUCCAAGCAGUGUGGAAGAGGAAGUGAGAUUUGGCAGAUUACUGGUUCCGGUUCAAUCUUCUGAACCAACCGCGAAACCUUCGCCAAUCGAUGAUAUCCGUAAUGGAUUGUCUUCUUAUUCUCGCAGUCGGGGCAUCUCUGCCGGUUGAGGGCACCGGCCUUCCUCCGGUGGAGCUCUGCCUUGUUCUGACACCAACAAGCACUGAUUACCUGCGUUGCGUUUGCGUGACGCAUCCACAGAUCCGACAGAGUUUGGAUUCCGCACAAGGGUUCUUCAACCCUUAAAUAGCCGCGUAUUCAAACUAGCCGAUCAUACGCUCCUUGCCUUCGUCACAUCCGUUCCAUCCAAGCAGUGUGGAAGAAGAAGUGAGAUUUGGCAGAUUACUGGUUCCGGUUCAAUCUUCUGAACCAACCGCGAAACCUUCGCCAAUCGAUGAUAUCCGUAAUGGAUUGUCUUCUUAUUCUCGCAGUCGGGGCAUCUCUGCCGGUUGAGGGCACCGGCCUUCCUCCGGUGGAGCUCUGCCUUGUUCUGACACCAACAACAAGCACUGAUUACCUGCGUUGCGUUUGCGUGACGCAUCCACAGAUUCGACAGAGUUUGGAUUCCGCACAAGGGAUCUUCAUCCCUUAAAUAGCCGCGUAUUCAAACUAGCCGAUCAUACGCUCCUUGUCUUCGUCACAUCCGUUCCAUCCAAGCAGUGUGGAAGAGGAAGUGAGAUUUGGCAGAUUACUGGUUCCGGUUCAAUCUUCUGGUAAUAAGAUUCAUUGAUAGAGUUCACACAAAAUGCC